ACGCUGGCGGCGUGCCUAAUACAUGCAAGUAGAACGCUGAAGAGAGGAGCUUGCUCUUCUUGGAUGAGUUGCGAACGGGUGAGUAACGCGUAGGUAACCUGCCUUGUAGCGGGGGAUAACUAUUGGAAACGAUAGCUAAUACCGCAUAACAAUAGGUGACACAUGUCAUUUAUUUGAAAGGGGCAAUUGCUCCACUACAAGAUGGACCUGCGUUGUAUUAGCUAGUAGGUGAGGUAACGGCUCACCUAGGCGACGAUACAUAGCCGACCUGAGAGGGUGAUCGGCCACACUGGGACUGAGACACGGCCCAGACUCCUACGGGAGGCAGCAGUAGGGAAUCUUCGGCAAUGGGGGCAACCCUGACCGAGCAACGCCGCGUGAGUGAAGAAGGUUUUCGGAUCGUAAAGCUCUGUUGUAAGUCAAGAACGAGUGUGAGAGUGGAAAGUUCACACUGUGACGGUAGCAUACCAGAAAGGGACGGCUAACUACGUGCCAGCAGCCGCGGUAAUACGUAGGUCCCGAGCGUUGUCCGGAUUUAUUGGGCGUAAAGCGAGCGCAGGCGGCUUGAUAAGUCUGAAGUUAAAGGCUGUGGCUCAACCAUAGUUCGCUUUGGAAACUGUCAAACUUGAGUGCAGAAGGGGAGAGUGGAAUUCCAUGUGUAGCGGUGAAAUGCGUAGAUAUAUGGAGGAACACCGGUGGCGAAAGCGGCUCUCUGGUCUGUAACUGACGCUGAGGCUCGAAAGCGUGGGGAGCGAACAGGAUUAGAUACCCUGGUAGUCCACGCCGUAAACGAUGAGUGCUAGGUGUUGGAUCCUUUCCGGGAUUCAGUGCCGCAGCUAACGCAUUAAGCACUCCGCCUGGGGAGUACGACCGCAAGGUUGAAACUCAAAGGAAUUGACGGGGGCCC
rnacentral:rRNA from 1 species